GUCUGCACAACAAAUGGUACCCAGGAGAGUGUGCCAUCCAUGAUGACAUCCCGCCCUUCAUUCAGUGCUGUCACCAGGAGAGAAGAUGCAGCGUCCGUGGAAGAUUGGUGUACCUAUUUGAGAAAAUAGAAAAAGAAAAAUUUAUACUACCAGGGAAGAGCAUCUAGACCAGUGUCAGAUCAUUGAUGCAUAUAGUACUUUCUUAUCGGAUGUGGAAUUGAGUGAUGCCAACAGCUUGUGCUUCUUUCCCAAGAUAAGAAUCUCCUUAAGAACAGUGCUCUUCCCAGCACCCAUCCCACCACCCAUGAAGAGGAGGACUGGACUUCUAUCAGAGUGUGCCACUGGAGCCAUAACCUCUGUACAUUGUGAGUCAUCAAGUGAUGCUAGUCCCAUUGCUUUCAUUUCCUCCACCAAGGUUGAUAGCAUUUAUUCCGACAAUAACACGACUAUUACGCACCUUGUUGCUGCCAUCACAAUGUUUUUGAACUUCUUUUUGGGUUCAUCAGCACUCAACACCUGAAAUUAUAUGGUAAGCAAGCUGCAAAAACUCAAUACAGGAAUGCAAAAUAGCUAAAUAACUAUUUAUUUAUGCAAAUAACAUUAAAAUUCUUAUUCAUUCAUAAAAAUAACAAAUAGAAAGACGAGAAAGGGAAUUUUGUUAUCUGAGAUUUGAUCCUAAUGCCAUGCUUUUAAUUUAAUUAAUCCUGAAUAUACAUAAAACGAUUUGACAUUAUCUCUGUUAAAUAUCCUACAUUAGUAUAAUAAACAAACUAUCCUAAAAGUAUCAAAAUGAAAAGGAUCAAAAUGAAAUAAAAUCAACGGUUGUUGAUGAAUUAAGAGAAAACAUAUCACAUGAUCACCAUCCACUUAUAAUUAAUUAUAUGACCUGAUGCAUGAUGAGAUCAGCAUGGCUCCAAUGGAAUGCAAAAUAGCUAAGAAUGCAUCUCUCGAACUCCUCAAGAAGUUUUACAAAAAGCGAAUCAGCUUCAACUUCAUCUGCAAAAUAUGCAUAAACAUCUUCUUCAAACCCUUCGCUCUUUUGAAUAUAUUCUGCAGCUAACUUACAGAGCUGUGGACAUUCUCUCCUAUCUGCAAAUCCCAUUUGUCUAGCUGCACACACCAUCCAUCCAUCAUUAUAUGAAACUAACACACAAUUGAUUAAUAAUGGUAAAAAAGAUGUUUCAAAAUGGAUCAUAUAUAAAAAUAAAUGUAUUUACCUACAUAAUGGGAGAACCUUUCAAGCUUCUCUGCUCUGCCAGCUCCCUUGGGUUUUAAACGAGGAAUUAUCUUCCGAUCUCUUACCAGCUUGAGACGAAAAUGCACUGCUGCUGCUAUUAUGAACCCAAUGGAAGAGGCUACAAUGAUCUGAUCGAAUGUUGGUUUGUUGUUAUAAUCUGAAUAGACAAAAUUAAUUAUUAUUAUUAUUAUUAUUAUUAUUAAUUUAAAAUGAGAUGAAUGCAGAAAAAUGAAUCAAAAACUAAAAAAAAAGAGGGAAAAAGAAAUACUGAUAACCUCUGAUCUGCAUUUCUGAGAUUUGCAGGAUUAAGGAUUUUCUGUUUGGUUUGUUGUUGCUGUGAAGAAAGGAAACAAAAAUGCCAUUUGCAUUUCGUUCCUUGUCGCAUGGUAUCCCUUAUAUUUGCUUGGAGACAUCCAUAAAACUGGCAGGAAGCUCCAUGCAUUUCUCAAUAUAACCAAAUCAAAUGGUGACACUUGUUUUCUCUUUUUUCUUUUCCUUUUUUUUUUUUUUUUUAAGUAGACAUGACUACUGUUUGGAAACAACAAUGUAUACAUACCCCAUGAUUUAACCCUCAAAUUUUGACAAGAAAACCUUGUUGCUCCCUAACUUAAAAAUCAAUCUUGUAAUACUCCAAAUUUCACUUUUGUAAUAAUCUUGUAUCUUGACCCAAAAAUAAUUUUUAGAUUUUUUAGCUUUUGUAUA